GCAAGUCGAGCGGACCGACGGGAGCUUGCUCCCUUAGGUCAGCGGCGGACGGGUGAGUAACACGUGGGUAACCUGCCUGUAAGACUGGGAUAACUCCGGGAAACCGGGGCUAAUACCGGAUGCUUGAUUGAACCGCAUGGUUCAAUCAUAAAAGGUGGCUUUUAGCUACCACUURCAGAUGGACCCGCGGCGCAUUAGCUAGUUGGUGAGGUAACGGCUCACCAAGGCGACGAUGCGUAGCCGACCUGAGAGGGUGAUCGGCCACACUGGGACUGAGACACGGCCCAGACUCCUACGGGAGGCAGCAGUAGGGAAUCUUCCGCAAUGGACGAAAGUCUGACGGAGCAACGCCGCGUGAGUGAUGAAGGUUUUCGGAUCGUAAAACUCUGUUGUUAGGGAAGAACAAGUACCGUUCGAAUAGGGCGGYACCUUGACGGUACCUAACCAGAAAGCCACGGCUAACUACGUGCCAGCAGCCGCGGUAAUACGUAGGUGGCAAGCGUUGUCCGGAAUUAUUGGGCGUAAAGCGCGCGCAGGCGGUUUCUUAAGUCUGAUGUGAAAGCCCCCGGCUCAACCGGGGAGGGUCAUUGGAAACUGGGGAACUUGAGUGCAGAAGAGGAGAGUGGAAUUCCACGUGUAGCGGUGAAAUGCGUAGAGAUGUGGAGGAACACCAGUGGCGAAGGCGACUCUCUGGUCUGUAACUGACGCUGAGGCGCGAAAGCGUGGGGAGCGAACAGGAUUAGAUACCCUGGUAGUCCACGCCGUAAACGAUGAGUGCUAAGUGUUAGAGGGUUUCCGCCCUUUAGUGCUGCAGCAAACGCAUUAAGCACUCCGCCUGGGGAGUACGGUCGCAAGACUGAAACUCAAAGGAAUUGACGGGGGCCCGCACAAGCGGUGGAGCAUGUGGUUUAAUUCGAAGCAACGCGAAGAACCUUACCAGGUCUUGACAUCCUCUGACAACCCUAGAGAUAGGGCUUCCCCUUCGGGGGCAGAGUGACAGGUGGUGCAUGGUUGUCGUCAGCUCGUGUCGUGAGAUGUUGGGUUAAGUCCCGCAACSAGCGCAACCCUUGAUCUUAGUUGCCAGCAUUCAGUUGGG
rnacentral:rRNA from 1 species